CCUACGGGGGGCAGCAGUGGGGAAUAUUGCACAAUGGACGAAAGCCUGAUGCAGCGACGCCGCGUGAGUGAAGAAGUAUUUCGGUAUGUAAAGCUCUAUCAGCAGGGAAGAAAAUGACGGUACCUGACUAAGAAGCCCCGGCUAACGACGUGCCAGUAGCCGAGGUAAUACGGAGGGGGCAAGCGUUAUCCGGAUUUACUGGGUGUAAAGGGAGCGUAGGCGGUGAAGCAAGUCUGGAGUGAAAACCCAGGGCUCAACCCUGGGACUGCUGUGGAAACUGUGUUGCUAGAGUGUCGGAGAGGUAAGUGGAAUGCCUAGUGUAGCGGUGAAAUGCGUAGAUAUUGGGAGGAACACCAGAGGCGAAGGCAGCUUACUGGACGAUAACUGACGUUGAGGCUCGAAAGCGUGGGGAGCAAACAGGAUUAGAUACCCCAGUAGUC
rnacentral:rRNA from 1 species